rfam:Xenopus laevis strain J chromosome 3S, whole genome shotgun sequence.
AAAUGUCAGUGAUGUUUUUUACCUACAUUGUUUGAAUAUCUAAAUGUAAAAAAUCUUUAGACUGAGACAUUC